GGAUGAUUAGCUCAGUUGGCUAGAGCGUCUCUUUGACGUAGAGGAGGUCAGAGGUUCGAGUCCUCUAUCAUCCACCA
rnacentral:tRNA from 1 species